rnacentral:rRNA from 1 species
ACAGCAGCCGCCGCGGUAAUACGUAGGGUGCAAGCGUUAAUCGGAAUUACUGGGCGUAAAGCGCGCGCAGGCGGUUAUAUAAGUCAGAUGUGAAAUCCCCGGGCUCAACCUGGGAACUGCAUUUGAGACUGUAUGGCUAGAGUGUGUCAGAGGGGGGUAGAAUUCCACGUGUAGCAGUGAAAUGCGUAGAUAUGUGGAGGAAUACCGAUGGCGAAGGCAGCCCCCUGGGAUAACACUGACGCUCAUGCACGAAAGCGUGGGGAGCAAACAGGAUUAGAUACCCCAGUAGUCCCUGUCUCUUAUAC